GGCAGUUGUGAGCUGCAUGUGGGUGCUGGGAAUCAAACUCAGGUCCUCUGCAAGUGCUUUUAACUGCUGAGCC
ensembl:miRNA